ACGCGGGCGUAGCUCAAUUGGAUAGAGCACCUGACUACGGAUCAGGAGGUUGGGGGUUCGACUCCCUUCGCGCGUA
rnacentral:tRNA from 1 species